rnacentral:rRNA from 1 species
ACGGGUGAGUAACGCGUGAGAAUCUGGCUCCAGGUCGGGGACAACAGUUGGAAACGACUGCUAAUACCGGAUGUGCCGAAAGGUGAAAGAUUUAUUGCCUGGAGAUGAGCUCGCGUCUGAUUAGCUAGUUGGUAGUGUAAUGGACUACCAAGGCGACGAUCAGUAGCUGGUCUGAGAGGAUGAUCAGCCACACUGGGACUGAGACACGGCCCAGACUCCUACGGGAGGCAGCAGUGGGGAAUUUUCCGCAAUGGGCGAAAGCCUGACGGAGCAAUACCGCGUGAGGGAGGAAGGCUCUUGGGUCGUAAACCUCUUUUCUCAAGGAAGAAAAAAAUGACGGUACUUGAGGAAUAAGCAUCGGCUAACUCCGUGCCAGCAGCCGCGGUAAUACGGAGGAUGCAAGCGUUAUCCGGAAUGAUUGGGCGUAAAGGGUCUGUAGGUGGUGCUGUAAGUCUGCUGUUAAAGAGCAAGGCUCAACCUUGUAAGAGCAGUGGAAACUACAGGACUAGAGUGCGGUAGGGGCAAAAGGAAUUCCUGGUGU